GCGCCCGCUCCCACUGGCCCAGAAAGCCAUCGAGCCUGCCACCCAGACCCCCGAGCAGCCGUAGGGCCUCCUGCACGGCUCCCUCCUCCUGAUGCCACCGGGCGGUCAGCGAAGACACCUCCCUCCUGUAGGGGCAGAGCAGCCAAACUUGUGACUUAAUAACAGCCUCCAGAACCCUGGGGCCUCUGACCUGCUAUACCUGAGAUGUUUAUGUCAGCAAUAAACUAUCCUGCUUCAACCAGAUAUUUGGGGUUUCUUUCACAGCUGCUUAAGUAAUACACAAAGAGAAAAGAGAACAAGCUUCCUCCAUUGUUAAAUGGGAACAACUUCACAUUUCUUGCACAACUGCUCUGGAUAAAUACCGUGAUAAAUACUGUAUUAAGGUGAUAUCAGCAAAAUAGAGGAGUUGGAAACCCCCAAAUUCCACCCCUUAAUGAAAACAAUGAAAAACAGUGACCAAAACUGACUCAAGUCAUUGGGAAGAUUACAACAAUCAUAAAUAUAUAUGCACCUAAUACAGCUUCAAAGCACAUGUAUCAAAAACUAACAGAAUUGGGAAUUCCCUGGCAGUCCAGGGGUUAGGACUCCGUGCUUUUACUGCCGAGGGCCCAGGUUCAGUCCCUGGGUCAGGGAACUAAGAUCCCACAUGCCGCAUGGCACAGCGCCCUUCCCUCCCCCCUCAAAAAGAAAGAAUGAAUUGAAAACUAGAAAGUAGAUCAGCAAAGAGAUAGAAGACUUGAACAACACUAUAAACCAACCAAACCUAACAGACAUCUAUAGAACAUAACAUGCAACAGCAGAAUACACAUUCUUCCCAAGUGGAAUGAAACCUUCAUAUGGUCAAGGAUAGAUGCUAAAGGAUAUGAAAACGAAGUGUGCUUUCUGAACUUAAAGACCUCAGUAGAAUGAAAUUAGGAAUCAAACGCAGAAAGAAAUUUGAGGAAAUCACAAGUAUUGAUAUAUGAAAAUUAAGCAACACACUCAUAAAUAAUGGGUGGAAGAAGAAUCACAAGAGAAAUUAUACUUUGGAAUGAGAGGAAAAUGAAAAAAGUUUACAGUGGAGAAAAUGAAAUAGAACAGUAGAGAAAAAUCAGCAAGCCAGAAGUUGUUUUUUUUAAAAGAUCGACAAAAUUGCCAAAUUCUUGACUAGAAUGACUAUGAAAAAGAGGAAGAUUACUCAAAUCACUAAAAUCAGGAAGGAAAAAGGGGACAUUACUACCAGUCUUAGGGAAAGAGAAAGGAUUACAAGAGAACCCUCUGAACAAUUGGAUGGCGUCAAAUUUGAUAACCUAGAUGAAAUGGAAAAAUUCCUUGCAAAACACUAACUGGAGAAGAGAUAGGACAUCUGAAUAGCCCUACAACAAAUAAAGAGUUUGAGUUAGUGAUUUUAAAA